GUUUUUUUGAUUAUAAUAUAAAAUUUAAUCUGCCCGAUGAUAAAUUAAAUGGCCGCGGUAUUUUGACUGUGCUAAGGUAGCAUAAUAAUUAGUUCUUUAAAUGGGAACUGGAAUGAAAGAUUGGACGAGAAUAAAUCUGUCUCUGUAUUAUUAGUGUAAUUUUAUUUUUAAGUUAAAAAGCUUAAAUUUUUUAAAAAGACGAGAAGACCCUAUAGAUUUUUAUAAUUGUAAAUUUUUUGAUAAAGGUUAAUUUGUAAUUUUUAUGGUUAUUUGAUUGGGGUGAUUGGAAAAUUUAAUAAACUUUUAUUUUUAAUAUAACAUUAUUUUUGAUUGCAUGAUCCAAUUUUAUUGAUUAAUAGAUUAAAAUACCUUAGGGAUAACAGCGUUAUUUUUUUUGAUAGUUCAUAUUGAUAAAAAAGAUUGCGAUGAUAAAAAAGAUUGCGAUAUUUUUUUUGAUAGUUCAUAUUGAUAAAAAAGAUUGCGAUGAUAAAAAAGAUUGCGA
rnacentral:rRNA from 1 species